AAAUUCCGGUUUCAAAACCGCUUCGGUAAUUCUUGAUCCAAGACCUAAAGCGGGUUUCUCUUUGAAUACGUUCGUGUAUUGCAGCAUAAGUUUUCUCGACAUCGAAGCUGUGUUCGAGGGUUGUUUAUCAAGGAAAAUUUUCAUCUUGUGUAUGAAACGUUUCAUUUUACUUUGAAUUUAAAUAAAAAUGUAAUAAUAUCUUUGACACUUUCUUUUUUGAUUAAAAACAACUUUUUUGUUGCUAAGUUUACCGCUUAUUAACGGCCAUUAUGGUUGAAAAACAAAUAGGAGUGAAGUGGGUGAUGUCACAUUUUAGCGGGAAAAUCAAAUUAAAAACGUCAUCGAAUAUUGACUCAAACUCAAGGUUACGAAGGUAAUAAAGUACGUAAGACGUGUGGAGGAUUCGGAUUUUCAAACUUUGUUAUGUCAAUGCAAAAAUGUACAAACACAAAGAAGCAUUGUUAUAAUCCAACAGGUACCUUACCCGUCUCAUGACGCGAAGUGAAAACGACGAAGUCUUCAUCUUGAAUGAUGUGCUCUUAGCUACUUUAAAGGAUUUAAUCUAGCUAAGAAAGAUUUGAAACUAAACUACAAUAUGCUACGGGAUCUUAAUCAAUUAAAAGAGAAUAUAAAGUCCUUUUUAUUUUUUGAUACAAUCUUUUAAUCCGGUUUUUAUUUUUUAUUGAGAGGAUCAAAUUCAGCGACUGAAUCAGAUCGAAUCUGCACGGUUACUAAAGAGAUGGGGAUGUGGCUGAGGGAAGCUGGAGAAUUUCCAGGGGAUCUCAAACGUUUCAAUCACAAAUUGGGUUAAUAGAAGUAAUUGCAUCAAUUUUUUUUAAUUGAUGAGGUGCAAAAAGGAUUUCUUAACAACUAAGAAUUAAGAUUGGAUUAAUUUAAGAUGUAUUUGUGAUAUAAUGUUGGUUUUUUUGAAUGGAUCGAUAUUUUCUCGUCAAAAAUCGUCUCAUCUCGUCUCUUAGCAACAGAUUCUGGGCGAGGAUUAAUUUGAAUAAAAUAAAAAUCGAGGAAAUAGA